ensembl:ncRNA F12F6.13 ncRNA
AUUAAAUCCCGAAAAGAACGUUGAUUUUGCUGUAAAGUUCCAUGUCACAGCGCGAUCCACCGUGUACGCAAACGUCGCGGUGGGCAAAUCGCUGCGAGACCCAGCGUGCUGCGUCUCUUCAGGCAACAGCUGUCUCUCUUCAUUUCGGCACUUUUUG